rnacentral:lncRNA from 1 species
UUAAAAUAGGGGAAUUGGAUCAUGUGGAAAAAGAGUUGGAACGAGUGGGAAGAAAUUUAGGUGAACUUGUGAAGAGUCAGGAAUUAAUGGGAAGCACUGGGUUUUGGAGAAGAGUUCUUGAAGUCGACUCUGGAGGAUGUAAAAUUGUGAAAUGAUGCAGUGUCAGUUUAGGCUUUACCUAAUUAAGCUUGACUCGACCUGCAUACAUUAAGCUUAAUCAGUAAAUAAAUAAGUAAAAC